rnacentral:piRNA from 1 species
GUUCGAUUCCCGGCCAAUGCAACUU